GUGUGUGUGUGUGUGUGUGUGUGUGUGUUCAUGUGCACGUGAGUGGGUGUGGUUUGCAGGUUCCAAAGGACACCAGAGGCAUCAAAUUUCCCCUGCAGCUGAUUUGAAUUUGGGCCCUUCUGCAAGAGUGUUCUUCAGAGAGUAUCAUUGGAAUUUUGAUGGGGAUUGGAGUGAAUCUUCAGGCUGCCCUCACCAAUACAUACAGCCACUUUCAGAGUGUUAAUUCUGUCGAUCCAUGAACUUGGAGUCUUCCCACUUUCUGAAAAGGACAGAUGUCCUGCUGUGACUGGACACACAUCUGGACCUCCAAGACAUGGAAAGAAGCAGGAUUUGAACUUGCCUUACUCCUGCUUCCUGCCCUAUGUGAGUUUCUGUCCUAACUUCCUUUGAUGACGAACAGCAGUAUGGAAGUGUAAGCUGAAUAAACCCUUUCCUCCCCA
rnacentral:lncRNA from 1 species